rnacentral:tRNA from 1 species
GGGCCCGUGGCAUAGACUGGUUAUUGCGCUGCUCUGAUAAGGCAGAUGUCGCGUGUUCAAAUCACGUCGGGCCCACCA